rnacentral:rRNA from 1 species
AGUCGAGCGGAUGAGGAGAGCUUGCUCUCUGAUUCAGCGGCGGACGGGUGAGUAAUGCCUAGGAAUCUGCCUGGUAGUGGGGGACAACGUUUCGAAAGGAACGCUAAUACCGCAUACGUCCUACGGGAGAAAGUGGGGGAUCUUCGGACCUCACGCUAUCAGAUGAGCCUAGGUCGGAUUAGCUAGUUGGUGGGGUAACGGCUCACCAAGGCGACGAUCCGUAACUGGUCUGAGAGGAUGAUCAGUCACACUGGAACUGAGACACGGUCCAGACUCCUACGGGAGGCAGCAGUGGGGAAUAUUGGACAAUGGGCGAAAGCCUGAUCCAGCCAUGCCGCGUGUGUGAAGAAGGCCCUCGGGUCGUAAAGCACUUUAAGCUGGGAGGAAGGGUUGUAACCUAAUACGUUGCAGCUUCGACGUUACCAGCAGAAUAAGCACCGGCUAACUCUGUGCCAGCAGCCGCGGUAAUACAGAGGGUGCAAGCGUUCAUCGGAAUUACUGGGCGUAAAGCGCGCGUAGGUGGCUUGGUAAGUUGAAUGUGUAAUCCCCGGGCUCAACCUGGGAACUGCAUCCAAAACUGCCUGGCUAGAGUACGGUAGAGGGUGGUGGAUUUCCUGUGUAGCGGUGA